CCAGACUCCUACGGGAGGCAGCAGUGAGGAAUAUUGGUCAAUGGGCGCAAGCCUGAACCAGCCAAGUCGCGUGAGGGAUGACGGUCCUAUGGAUUGUAAACCUCUUUUGUCGGGGAGCAAAGCGAGUCACGUGUGACUCAUUGAGAGUACCCGAAGAAAAAGCAUCGGCUAACUCCGUGCCAGCAGCCGCGGUAAUACGGAGGAUGCGAGCGUUAUCCGGAUUUAUUGGGUUUAAAGGGUGCGCAGGCGGAGGUGCAAGUCAGCGGUAAAAUUGCGGGGCUCAACCCCGGCGAGCCGUUGAAACUGGCAGACUUGAGUUGGCGAGAAGUACGCGGAAUGCGCGGUGUAGCGGUGAAAUGCAUAGAUAUCGCGCAGAACUCCGAUUGCGAAGGCAGCGUACCGGCGCCAGACUGACGCUGAGGCACGAAAGCGUGGGGAUCGAACAGGAUUAGAUACCCGAGUAGU
rnacentral:rRNA from 1 species